GACGAACCGUCCAAACGUUAUUCGGAAUCACUGGGCUUACAGAGUUCGUAGGCGGUCUAGCAAGUUAGGUGUGAAAUCCCUCGGCUCAACCGAGGAACUGCGCUUAAAACUGCUAGACUCGAGGGAGAUAGAGGAAAGCGGAACUGAUGGUGGAGCGGUGAAAUGCGUUGAUAUCAUCAGGAACACCGGUGGCGAAGGCGGCUUUCUGGGUCUUACCUGACGCUGAGGAACGAAAGCCAGGGGAGCGAACGGG
rnacentral:rRNA from 1 species